UACAGAGGUCUCAAGCGUUGUUCGGAUUCAUUGGGCGUAAAGGGCGCGUAGGCGGGCUCUCAAGUCAGGGGUGAAAGCCCACGGCCCAACCGUGGAAGUGCCUCUGAUACUGGGGGCCUGGAGGGGGAUAGGGGCGUGCGGAACUUGGGGUGGAGCGGUGAAAUGCGUAGAUAUCCCAAGGAACACCGGUGGCGAAGGCGGCACGCUGGGUCCCUACUGACGCUGAGGCGCGAAAGCCAGGGGAGCGAACGGG
rnacentral:rRNA from 1 species